UCCCACAUUUUAACGGUCAUUUUUGUCUGCAAUUUUCAAUCUUUUGUCUAACUGUUAUGAUCUUUAAUUAACACUAAUUUUUAAUUAAAUGUUUUAGUUUUAACGUAUUUUUUGUUGAUUCUGCAAUUCUAUUUGUGUCAUGAAUCGGUGGUUUGAUGGUUUCAGUCUUUUGGAUUGUUUAAGAUCUGGAUCAAGAUUGAUUUGGUGCUGAUUUUAACUCUCGAUAAUUUGAUUAGUGUUAACACAACUGUUCAUCAAGCCGUCUUGGUAAAAAGGCGACAAAAAUGGUUACAAUGGAGUCAAGUUAUACAUGUAACAACGUUCAAUUAGACAGCAGUUUUAGACGCGCAACCUGAGCCCAGUCAUUGAAUCCAAAAGGCUAACUUGUACUUACCAAUUAACUCAACAACAAUCAGUUAACGUUAUAAAACAAUUAACACACCACAGAUGAAAACAAUAAACAAAGCCAAGUAAGCGAAGCAACAGUAAAGGUUAACAAAAACGCAACGCUAGUGGAGGCAGUUGCUUUAUUACACAGGAAAAGUGGAUGGAAGCACGUUAAUGUUAACAACAACGGACCAAACAAGAAUCAAGUUUUAGAAGCUCAUCAUAAAUCUAACACGAAAAAGAAGAAGAUGAAGUUAAUCUUGAGCUUACAAACAAAAUUAACAACAAAAUCCUAGUUAAACUUAUUAUUUGUAAAUCUGUUUGGGUCUGAGCCUUGGAAGAAAUUUUUUUUGAAACAAAGAAAUGGUAAAGUUAAAGAUUGGAGGGAAGCAAAAACUAAUAACAAUUUGGUCCUGAUUGUCUUAAUCAAUCAGUUAAUCAACACGCAAUGGCCCUUAAGGAAGCUUGACUUGUAUCAUCAUAUAAACCUCAAUUCAACCAAAAUUAUUAUAUUAAAGUAAAGAUCCGAUUGAUUAAGUGGCAAGCCAUGAUGAUAAACUUAAUUAAACUUUUCUCCAUCUUCACCAUCUUCAACAUCCUCACCAUCUUUACCAUCUUCAUCUACAUCAUCUUCAUCUUAAUCUUCAGUGACAGUGUUUUAUGCAGCAAAG